GAUGAACGCUAGCGGCAGGCCUAAUACAUGCAAGUUGAACGGAUCUUGGACUUCGGUUCAAGGUUAGUGGCGCACGGGUGCGUAACGCGUACACAACAUACCCUUAACUGGGGGAUAGCGGUGGGAAACUGCCAGUAAUACCCCAUACCCCUGCGAGGUGGCAUUACCUUGCAAGGAAAGUUACGGCGGUUAGGGAUUGGUGUGCGUCCGAUUAGCUAGUUGGCGGGGUAACGCCCACCAAGGCGACGAUCGGUAGGGGGUGUGAGAGCAUGGCCCCCCCACACGGGUACGUGAGACACGGACCC
rnacentral:rRNA from 1 species